GUGUCAGCCGCCGCGGUAACACGUAGGGGGCGAGCGCUGUCCGGAAUUACUGGGCGUAAAGGGUACGUAGGCGGUCAUGUAAGUCAGAUGUGAAAGGCAUGGGCUUAACCCAUGUAAGCAUUUGAAACUACGUGACUUGAGUUAAGGAGAGGAAAGUGGAAUUCCUGGUGUAGCGGUGAAAUGCGUAGAUAUCAGGAGGAAUACCAGUGGCGAAGGCGACUUUCUGGCCUUAAACUGACGCUGAGGUACGAAAGCGUGGGGAGCAAACAGGAUUAGAUACCCUGGUAGUCCACGCCGUAAACGAUGAGUGCUAGGUGUCGGGAGGAGACUUUCGGUGCCGCAGUUAACACAUUAAGCACUCCGCCUGGGGAGUACGUUCGCAAGAAUGAAACUCAAAGAAAUUGGCGG
rnacentral:rRNA from 1 species